rnacentral:rRNA from 1 species
CCUUCGAGCCUCCUGUCCUUGGAUGAGUCCGCGUCCCAUUAGAUAGUUGGUGAGGUAAUGGCCCACCAAGGCUACGAUGGGUAGCUGGACUGAGAGGAUGAUCGGCCACAUUGGAACUGAGACACGGUCCAGACUCCUACGGGAGGCAGCAGUGGGGAAUUUUGCGCAAUGGGGGAAACCCUGAUGCAGCGACGCCGCGUGAGUGAUGACGGCCUUCGGGUUGUAAAGCUCUGUCUGGAGGGACGA